UAGACCUCAUGGGGCCUGUCUGAACCAAAU
rnacentral:piRNA from 1 species